rnacentral:lncRNA from 1 species
GUUUCUCCUUCUCUAUUCUGAUCUUGGAAAAAUAGUUUAAUUAACAUCCAUGAAUUUUUUUUUCUUUGCUGCAUCUAUGACAUAUGGAAGUUCCCAGGCCAGGGAUCGAAUCCCAGCUGCAACUGCAACCUACACCACAGCUACAGCAAUGCCUGAUCCUUAACCCACUGCACCACAGUGGGAACUCCCAAUAUCCAUCAAUUUUCAGUUACUGUGUAGGUGCUGAUGAUUAGAAGAUGAUAAAGGUAUAAACCCUUAGUGUCUUCUCAAUGUAAUUAGAGAACUAUAGUGUAAAAAUUAAAUCAUUUGUGAGGCAUGGGAGUGAGUGAGUAACCUUUGCUCUGGUCUGAAAAUAGGUUACAACAGACCUCCUGGAAGAGUUGAUGCCAGAGUUGAAUUUGGAAGGUUAUUAACGGCAUGGCACCCAAGAGAAUCACUCCACGUGAUUGAGCUAAUUCCGCAACCUGGAUAUACCCAUGUGCAUUACAACAGCAUGAAGAACACCUGAAUAUCCACUAAUCCCAGUGCCAAAAUCCUGGACAAGUGCCAGAAUUUCUGCAUAUGGUUGAUGGGAAUCUCAUGCCAGCUUGUGGGAAAUUCCUGUACUCUUCCCAUUGCCUCUCUCCUCCAACCUCUUUGACCAUUCUGCUGGUCAGACUUAUGGGUCAUGCAGGUUUCCUCUCAGUGAGUGACUGCAAGUCUAAAGGAGAAGAUUUGGUGAGACAGACAUAGGUCCUCCAUCAUCAGGGUCAUGCUGUACAUAUCAGAUCUUUCCAGGAGUGCUGUGUGAGGUGGAGGGGAAAGUGUUCACCUGGGACACUUAAAGGUAUGGAUGAAACUCAAAUUAGCUUUAAAAAUGUGGCAUUUUUGCUUUCUGCAAUAGCACACACAGACACCAGGCAUAAACAUAUUCAUGAAGUAAAAAAAUGUAGUUACAUUUAAAGAGAAUAAUAACAUUUACUUUUCUAAUUAAUUGCAAGAAGAAGAGGUAAGAAGGGGGAAGAGAAGAAAGAGGAGGAGGAGAAAAAAAAGGAAGAAUGAAAAUAAGAAAAAAACUAUUUUAAAAAAUACUUACAAUACUUCCAUUCAGAGAUAAUCUUCAUUAACAGUUUCGUGAACAAUAUCCAAAUUUGUUUUAGAAGUACAUAUUAUACAGUUAUUGCAACUGUUUUUUGAUUUGACUUUGUGUCAUUUUACGUAAAGUAAUUAUGGAACUAAUAUAUAAAAAGGUAUUUGUGAGAAUUCUAAUCUCAGCUCUGUUUACACUAGUCUGUCCAGUUUUUAAAUUUAGUCUUUUAGUGUCCUUAUCUUUAUUGCUUUAAAAUGAUAACAAACACAAUAGCAAACAGAAAAAUUCUACUAUGAUAAAAUAGUAGCAUUAAUAUUUUUGUAUUUUUAAAUAAAAUCUCUACCCAUGUUUUUUAAUAAAUAUUU